rnacentral:rRNA from 1 species
UACAGAGGGUGCGAGCGUUAAUCGGAUUUACUGGGCGUAAAGGGCGCGUAGGCGGUUAUAUGAGUGUGAUGUGAAAGCCCUGGGCUUAACCUAGGAAGUGCAUCGCAAACGAUAUGACUGGAGUACUAGAGAGGGUAGCGGAAUUUCCGGUGUAGCGGUGAAAUGCGUAGAGAUCGGAAGGAACGUCAAUGGCGAAGGCAGCUGCCUGGAUAGAUACUGACGCUGAGGCGCGAGAGCGUGGGGAGCAAACAGG